UCAAGAAUACAUAACCAAACAAGAAGUAACAAGUCAAGAAACAGAAACGCAGUACCUGCGUGAUUAACUUUAUUACUCUGUGAAAAUUGACCAGUAAAUUUUAUUUGCCUGGAUUUAUAUAUAUAUUUAGAUAUAUAAACAUAUAUUAUAGCCUAUAUAUUUUAUGUUAUUAAACAAUACAAAGUCUACAGAUUUCAUAGAGCAAUAUCAACAUUAAACUGACAUGAAAAAACACGUGCUUGCAGUGUUGCAAAAUACAACAUUUUUGAAUUCAGUUUUUCAAUUCUGUCAAGUACACUUGAAAAAGCAGCCAUUCAGUCAUUGGUAACGCCAAAAGGUUUUCUUGUAAACUAAAAGAAUGAAUUCGACGAUUCAAAAGCUGGCUCUAUCUUUCUUCGGUAUAGGGAUCUGGUGCUAUGCACUUUUCACGUCUAUGGAACUGAAGACUUUGUAAAAUGCUGCAUUGUUGAUAAUGUCAUCAAUUCAAGGAUUUAUUUUGGUGCUUGAGUGAGCUGGGGAUAACCUGUAACUUCUCUUGAAGCCUAUAAUUUUGGACAGAAACGUCCAAGUUUGAGAUAAUAGGAGGUUGAGGGACCGGAUGAACAUCACCUGUCGGCCAAUGAUUUCCGAAGCGCAGAUUCACCGAUCAAUUGGUCUCCACCAACAAUUCAGAGCACUAUUGCUGCCUUCCACUGCUACAGAACGGCUAUAAAGAGAGGGUUCAAUAAAGACGUGAUACAAUUGGCAUUGAAGUGUACUUUUCCACGGCUGCAACCGCUGCAAGCUGCGUCCCUCAGGACUCCGAGGUCGUGGCCGAAAUAAAAUCACACUACUGCAAUAUUCAGAUGACUGGUUGUCAGCAUGCAAGGAACUGACAAAGAAGAGGAUCUUAAAAAUGGUGACGACAUGCAUCAAAUAGCAACCGAAGGAAAAGGCAUCAAAUAGCAACUACUGUUAUUGGAAAAGCUCUCAUUCAUUCAGAGGACACACUCUCACAGACAUGCGCCAAAGGUAGGAACAAAAGAAUUUAUACACAGUACAUCAUGCGAACCCCACAAUCAUCAAGGACGGCUACUGCUUCAAAUCAUAAUUUAUAAAAUUUCGAAUAAUUCAACAUAAAUUGUGAUAGCUGUAUUUUGAAAUAUUUUAUAUUCAAAUUCAAUCUUUUAUUGAUAAUAUCAACAUUAUUGAGCACCACAAUUGAUUAUGGUAGGUAACGCAGUUACUUAUGUACGAAAUGAAAAUAAUUUAUAGUUGAUUUAUAUUUAUGCUAUUUGAACAAAAUCAGCUAUUUUUGCAAACAUAUGAACGUAUGGAAUGUAUUUGCCGUGCAAGAUUAGGUACUUCUAAACUUUUGUGAAGUCCUUUAGCAGGAGUUCUCAACGUUUCCUGCUUCACACCCCCCUUAAGCUCAAAGCACUCCUAAAUUAAAUCAUCUGGUUGAAUACUUUUCAUCUAUGUGAGUUGGAAUUCGCGCGCACACCGGAAGCACGCAUCCUUUGUGCUAUGAGCUUUAGAAUCCUGAAUUUUCCUCACAUCACUAACACCUCCCCCACCCAUAUUCAGCUCAUACAUCAGCCAAGAAAGAAUCGUGUUGGAAUAGAAAAAACAUGGAAUUUUCUUUUUUCUUUUUUUUUUCAUGAAUACUAACAGGUAACCCAGUUAACUGUAAACCUUUGCACCAGGAAUAAUUUUGUGUUGUAGAAUGCAAUCUCCUUAAGUCCUUAUGUCACUUGGAGAAAGCUCUGUUUGGUUGACCUUUUAUUGUUGCAUAAACUUUGAAUCACAAAUUGAAAACAAUGUUUCAAUCAUUAAAUUGGAAUUAAUUCAUUAAUAAAAAUGAAAAAUAAGCUUAUUUAUUAAAAAUAAGCCUAAGGCUUAUAAAAAAUAAGCCUAAGGCUUAUAAAAAAUAAGCCUUAUUUUUAUUUAUUAAUAAAAAUAAGCUUAUCCAUUCUCAGUAAAUUCAGAAUCUUCAUCUGGAAUUGCAAGUUAAUCAGUUUAUUACUUCAUAAGUGAUAAUGCGUCAAUCGUGUUUUUCCUAUUCCAUACAUGUAUAACAGUAUAAGCCAAUUCCUGCCUUUACAAUGUUAUAGAUAAAUGAAAUAAAAUACAGCCUUUAAAAAUAAAAUAUACAUGAUGUAUAUAAAUUGGUAUUGAGUAGUUAGGCUAGUAUGUAAAACCGAUAAAAGUUCUUACAGCCUCUUUUGUAUUAACAUUCAUCAACAAUUCUAAUUUUGACUGCGAAAGUUUUUGCUUCAUUUAAUUUGUAUUUAUUAUUUCUCUAGAAGAGCUCACGCCCACCCUGAAAUCCUUCCUCGCCACCCCCCCACAAGUUGAGAACUACUGUUCUAAAGGAUAAAAAAUAUUUGUUUUGUAAUAUUCAAUUGAGAACCACUGUUCUAUAGGAUAAAAAAAUAUUUGUUUUGUAAUAUUCAAUUCAAAAGACAAACACUUACAGUGAUAUUUUAAAUCUAUUAGGAAAAUUGAAUCCCACGUUCGACAAGUAUCUAUGUAACAAUUUAAUCUAAUUCAGUUUGACUUUAGUUACACUUUUGGGUAUUUAAUAGUUAUCAGCCCUACAGUUGGCCAUAAAAAGUCAAUAGUACGAACUAAAAGAAAAACUAUGAAUGAUUUUAAUUGCCAUUUAUUUUAAAAUGACUAUUUGAACGUUUCAU